AUCUUUCUAGUAUACUUUAAUACUAAUGACUUCCAAUCAUUCAGACCUGGUUAAAAUCCAGGGUAAGAUA
rnacentral:tRNA from 1 species